GACGAACGCUGGCGGCGUGCUUAACACAUGCAAGUCGAACGAUGAAGCCGGAGCUUGCUCCGGUGGAUUAGUGGCGAACGGGUGAGUAACACGUGAGCAAUCUGCCCUUGACUCUGGGAUAACUGCGGGAAACUGUAGCUAAUACCGGAUACGACACCUUGGGGCAUCCCAGGGUGUGGAAAGAAUUUCGGUCAAGGAUGAGCUCGCGGCCUAUCAGCUAGUUGGUGAGGUAAUGGCUCACCAAGACGACGACGGGUAGCCGGCCUGAGAGGGUGACCGGCCACACUGGAACUGAGACACGGUCCAGACUCCUACGGGAGGCAGCAGUGGGGAAUAUUGCACAAUGGGCGGAAGCCUGAUGCAGCAACGCCGCGUGAGGGAUGAAGGCCUUCGGGUUGUAAACCUCUUUCAGCAGGGAAGAAGCGAAAGUGACGGUACCUGCAGAAAAAGCACCGGCUAACUACGUGCCAGCAGCCGCCGUAA
rnacentral:rRNA from 1 species